rnacentral:rRNA from 1 species
ACGGGUGAGUAAUGUCUGGGAAACUGCCCGAUGGAGGGGGAUAACUACUGGAAACGGUAGCUAAUACCGCAUAACGUCGCAAGACCAAAGUGGGGGACCUUCGGGCCUCACACCAUCGGAUGUGCCCAGAUGGGAUUAGCUAGUAGGUGGGGUAAUGGCUCACCUAGGCGACGAUCCCUAGCUGGUCUGAGAGGAUGACCAGCCACACUGGAACUGAGACACGGUCCAGACUCCUACGGGAGGCAGCAGUGGGGAAUAUUGCACAAUGGGCGCAAGCCUGAUGCAGCCAUGCCGCGUGUAUGAAGAAGGCCUUCGGGUUGUAAAGUACUUUCAGCGGGGAGGAAGGCGGUGGAGUUAAUAGCUUCACCGAUUGACGUUACCCGCAGAAGAAGCACCGGCUAACUCCGUGCCAGCAGCCGCGGUAAUACGGAGGGUGCAAGCGUUAAUCGGAAUUACUGGGCGUAAAGCGCACGCAGGCGGUCUGUCAAGUCGGAUGUGAAAUCCCCGGGCUUAACCUGGGUACUGCAUUCGAAACUGGCAGGCUAGAGUCUUGUAGAGGGGGGUAGAAUUCCAGGU